rnacentral:lncRNA from 1 species
CAGACUUGUCCCAUGGGCCACAGAAUGCUGACCGCUGCUCUCAUCUCCCAAUUCCUUAUACUCUAUUGAACAGAAGAAACACUGGCUUUUAACAUUGAGAUUAUAAGACACCAUUUACAGACAGUAACUUACUGUCUCCUAAACUGAUGAGUGUGCAUUCAAGGAUAUACCUAUAAAACAUUAAACCAAUAUGGAUUUCUUGCUUUUCUAUUUCUAAAGGUGUGUUUGUUUUUAUGUGUGUGUGCACCUCUGUGAGCUUAAUGUGUGCCCCUUGCAUGCAGGUGCUGGUAGAGAUCAGAGGGUGUCCGACCCCCCUGGAGUUCUAGGAGGUUGUGUGCUACCUGAUGUGGGUGCUGGAAACCAAUUCCCAGUCCUCUGGAAGAACGGAUUCUCACAAAAGGCCUGGAAGUGGGCACACAAGGCCUUAGCAGUCUAAUUGAAAGGCUCGAACUUCCCUUUCAAGAUUACAGGAAGGUUAAGGGAGCAGGGGGAGUAGUACUUUGGUCACAUCCCUCAACCACAGAGUUAAGUCCCUAAGAUACAGUCAAGCAAUCCGAGCACCGGGAAGUGAGUGAAUCUGCUUGUCCAGCUGAAGACUGCAGCGUCUCUCACAGGACGCCUCUGUUGCCACCUCAAGCUCCAUGUGCCCCAUUAUGGGAAAUCCAGACUUUCCCCUUUCUUCCCCCUUCCUCCAUAAGUCUAGGAAUCAGAGUGAUCUCAACUCUGGUUACUCUGGUUGAUUGACCCGUGUGACAAUAGCUGUUGCAGAAGCUGGGGGCUUGCUGUCACUGCUGAGUCCAGAACAUUUGGAAGCUAUGCCCUUGAGAAACAAUGCCCUUAUCAACUUUCAUUGCCACCCACAGGAUUUGUACAUAGUGUCUUUGUAUCUAAUAAAGCCUGACCUGAUAACUGUAACCCCAUUCAGCCCAGGCUCCAACUACCAUUGCCUUGAUGGCUUGUUUAGUGACAUUCAGGCCAUCCACAAGAAGUGACUCAGACUGAACUUGGUGGCAGAUACUGUGCAGCUCUCUGCUCAGUGAUCUGCAGAAAAAAGGGAAGUGCCCUUUCUUCGGAAUGGACAUUUAGACACAUGAGCCCAAUGCCAACAAGCUCAGGGACUUGACUUUUGUGAGUCUGAGUUGCUGAAAUAAAAUACCAAACACUGGGUGGUUUAUCAACAAAAGAAAUUUAUUUUUUUUCACAGUUCUGAAGGCUGGGAAGUUCACAGUGAUGCUCUAGCAGAUCUGGUCCCUGGAUAAGGCGCGUUUUUCAACUGACAGCUGUUUUCUCACUCGGGGUGACAGCUCUCUCUUUUAUAAGAGCUUUGCUACCAUGACCUAAUCACCUCUAAGGGUUUUAUGACUAAAUGCCAGCUGUUUGGUGAUUGGGAUUUCAAAUUUUUAAGCAGACACAAAUAUUCAGACAAUAGCAUUAUUACGAUAAUUUUUCCUUAAAAAUGAAUUUAUCUGACUACAGGUAGAGUAUGUUUCAUUUUGGGAUACUUAAAAAAGCAAAAAUUAAAAUAAUCAGUAACUUUCCUUCUUGAAGGUUUUAUUUUUAAUUAUGUAUAUGAGUGUGCGCAAGUAUUAGUGCAUAUGAGCACAGCCUCAGUGGGGACCAAAGAGGGUGCUGGAUCCCCUGGAGCUGCAGUGGAGUUACAGGGAGUUCUGAGCCCCACACAGGUGUUGAAAAUCAAACUGGAGUUCUCUAUAAAAGCAGUCUACACUCUUAACCAACUGCUGGUGGUUCCAUCCCCAGAAAUUCCACUGAUUAGGAUUAACACCCAAAUGUCUUUUAUUUAGCAUUGUUCUCUGUGUUUACUAGUAAACAGCUUUGUACAUUCAAACAUAUUCUGUCAUUCCUGUAAUAGAAAACAUAAUAGCUCCAUUCC